UCUAUAAUAGCUAAAUAUAUUUAAGCAUUUAAACUUUUAAUUUAAAAAUGAAUUAUAUAAUAUUCUUAUAGAA
rnacentral:tRNA from 1 species